ACCUUUCACUUUUCCUCUCCGUAAGCCGCUCUCUCCCUUCGCUUCUUUCGCUCGUCUUUCUUCUUUAGCUCUUCUUCAACGACGCGCGUCUUCUUCGCCAUUGAAGGUCCAGGUCUUCUUCUUCAUCAUUGAAGGUCUGACUCUUCUUCAACGACGCUCAACACAGUUCUAGGUUCUCUCUCCUCUCUGAUUUGAGAAUAAUCUCAGAAUUUUUUUGAUCAAUGCUUUACAACGUUGAGUUGAUGUUGAUUCUCUGCAUUUCAGUUGUUUGAUUCACGUUUCCUUUCAUCUUCUUCAAGCAAUUGAAGUAAAACACCCCGUAAAGCCUCUCUCUCAAUCCUCUGCGUAUUCCAGAAG
rnacentral:lncRNA from 1 species